rnacentral:rRNA from 2 species
AGUGGCGCACGGGUGAGUAACGCGUGGAUAACCUGCCCUGGUAUCCGGAAUAACAUCUCGAAAGGGGUGCUAAUACCGGAUAAGCCCACGGGAUCUUCGGAUUCUGCGGGAAAAGGUGGCCUCUAUUUAUAAGCUACCGUAUCAGGAUGGGUCCGCGUACCAUUAGCUAGUUGGUGAGGUAAUGGCCCMCCAAGGCUACGAUGGGUAGCUGGUCUGAGAGGAUGAUCAGCCACACUGGAACUGAGACACGGUCCAGACUCCUACGGGAGGCAGCAGUGGGGAAUAUUGCGCAAUGGCCGAAAGGCUGACGCAGCGACGCCGCGUGUGGGAUGACGGUCUUCGGAUUGUAAACCACUGUCGGGAGGGACGAAUACCGGGAAACCGGGGUGACGGUACCUCCAAAGGAAGCACCGGCUAACUCCGUGCCAGCAGCCGCGGUAAUAC